rnacentral:rRNA from 1 species
UACCAGCACCCCGAGUGGUCGGGACGAUUAUUGGGCCUAAAGCAUCCGUAGCCGGUCAUGCAAGUCUUCCGUUAAAUCCAGCCGCUCAACGGUUGGGCUGCGGAGGAUACUACGUGGCUAGGAGGCGGGAGAGGCAAGCGGGUACUCAGUGGGUAGGGGUAAAAUCCUUUGAUCCAUUGAAGACCACCAGUGGCGAAGGCGGCUUGCCAGAACGCGCUCGACGGUGAGGGAUGAAAGCUGGGGGAGCAAACCGGG